AGUAAGCAGGCACUUAACAGAGGGGCUGCUCCAAGCAGCCCUGAGAAAAGCUUUUUAUGAGGUAAAAAGUGAAGACUUCAAGGGCAGCAGCGGUGGUAAAUGUCUUGUGACAUUCAGUGCUGCAGCUCCAGCUCUCCCCAGCGGCGCUGUACACUCCCGAGCCCUGGUUGCCGGGUACCUACAGCGGAGGCUCCGGUUUUCUUCAUGUUAGACACACACGGCUGGGGCUCUCCAGGAUCGCGUGGCCGCACUUCGGGAGGUGGUUUGAGGAGGAUUGAAGGACUUCAGUGACACAGAGUUUGAAGUAAUGGAGGAGAGCAUGCAGGUGAUAAGGUUGUGAUCUGAGAGAGGGAUCUUCAUCAGGAAACACUGCGGCAGGACAGCUGUGACAUAUACAUCCCAAAGAUCCAGCAGGAGAGUUGGUCAUGCCCCCCAGGCUCCUUAUAUAACCCUCAUCGUAAAGAACUUGACGCCAAACAGUAUCCAACGUCCGCAUUCCACCUGUAAUACUAAUCACAUCCAUAUGAUGCCAUACAUUACCGAUGCUCACAGCCAUAAAUAUAAAUGCCACAUAUAUUACCUCCUAUUCAUAAAUGGCUGCAUAAUUCCGGAAGUGAAGUACUCAACAGGACAUUUCAAUACAUGUCACUACUGAAAAGUCCAGAAGCAGAGCAUUUUGUCCCUUCUGGAGAGGGUGAUGUUGGGAGGUAAUUGCCUCCUAGACUGGUGCAAUACCAUCUUUUGGGGUCAGCCGCACAGCCUGCCACCGCACACUCCGCGAAGUACAUGGGGUCCGAGAGGCAAGCAGACAACUUUAUCCAGCUGCUCCUAUUCUUUUUUUUAGACACUCCAGUUAUAUUGUAUGGCAUUUCACCAAAUUGCUUUCUGUGUUUUAUGGUGGUUACUGUAACUGCCCAAUCCAUCCCUAAUAUAUCCUAAUCUACAAUCAGUUUAUAUUUCUUAGCAAUAUAGCUAAUGUGGUACCCUAUACCACCAUAGGAUUCCUUGUAUUUCUUAGAAGAAUACUAGAUUUGGUACAUGUUUUAGCUGCAUUAUAAAAUAAAUGUUUAUCUUGCUCUUUA